AAAACUAGCCAGUCUUUUGGGUAUGAAACCCAUUUGGGAGAGAGUAGUACUAGGAUGGGUGACCUCCUGGGAAGUCCUCGUGAAAGGGUUUC
rfam:Triticum aestivum genome assembly, contig: Triticum_aestivum_CS42_TGACv1_scaffold_221363_3B